rnacentral:rRNA from 1 species
CCUACGGGUGACUGCAGUGGGGGAUAUUGCACAAUGGGGGGAACCCUGAUGCAGCGACGCCGCGUGGGUGAAGAAGCGCCUCGGCGCGUAAAGCUCUGUCAGCAGUGAAGAAAAUGACGGUACCUGAAGAAGAAGCCCCGGCUAACUACGUGCCAGCAGCCGCGGUAAUACGUAGGGGGCAAGCGUUAUCCGGAUUUACUGGGUGUAAAGGGGGCGCAGGCGGCGUUGCAAGCCAGGAGUGAAAGCCCGGGGCUCAACCCCGGGAGUGCUUUUGGAACUGCAUGGCUGGAGUGCAGGAGGGGCAGGCGGAAUUCCUGGUGUAGCAGUGAAAGGCGUAGAUAUCAGGAGGAACACCGGUGGCGAAGGCGGCCUGCUGGACUGCAACUGACGUUGAGGCCCGAAAGCGUGGGUAGCAAACAGGAUUAGAUACCCCGGUAGUC